UACAGAGGUCCCAAGCGUUGUUCGGAUUCACUGGGCGUAAAGGUUGCGUAGGCGGUCGGGUACGUCUGCUGUGAAAUCUCACAGCUUAACUGUGAAACUGCAUCGGAUACUAUCCGGCUCGAGGAAUGGAGGGGAGACUGGAAUACUUGGUGUAGCAGUGAAAUGCGUAGAUAUCAAGUGGAACACCAGUGGCGAAGGCGAGUCUCUGGACAUUUCCUGACGCUGAGGCACGAAAGCCAGGGGAGCAAACGGG
rnacentral:rRNA from 1 species